UUAUUUUAAUUUGCAGUAUUGUUUUUUGCUUUCUGGUACUGAGAGCAGAGGAAUGGAAGGCUUUUGAGCUGGUAGAACAUGCUUCUGAAUUAUGGUUGCUCAUGCUUUUGUUGUUCAGCUUUGUGGGCUAUCCCUGCGCUCUUUAUUUGCAUUUUGGAUUGGGAGUACAUGUAAAAGUUUCUGCUUGCUUGAAGGUGGCUCAGGAUCUCACUAACUGAAUGAGCAGUGCAACUGUAGGAAGAACUUUACAUGAAGGCAAAGUAUAAAACCCUAACAAAGAACUGGACAGGAGCUGGUCUGCUGAGAAACCUGGUGAGGUGUUUCAAGCCUGUGUGCCAGGAGUGCAGAGCUCUGUUUGCUGCAACUCUCCCCUCAAUGGCAGAAGCUUCGUUUAUGGAUGCUGUGCUACAGAGGAAGGCUUUGACACUUGUGCUGCUACUUUGGCCUUGGAGACUUCUGACACAGCCCAAUUUCCUGAGCAGAGACCUGUUUGCAGGGCCUUGGCAGGGUUUGAAAGGCACUGCUGCUGCUCUCGUGUUGCAGGUUCAGCCUGGGUUUCAAGAGGAUGCAAGAGGCUUCAAGAGGCUUUGUGGUUUCCUGAAGGGAAAGUGACAGGUGCCACAUUUCUUUGUGCAAGUCUCUAACUGUGUCAUGGCAUUCCAGUACUUACCCCAAGAUGAGUGAUGAUUGUACUAAUUAAGAACUGAAGUGGAAGGAUAUGAGAAGGAUGCAGUAUGGGGUGUUUUCUAAUAAAACUGAACUACUUUAGCAGCAGCUGAUGCUGCUUUUCUCAUGGCAGCCUUUAUUUCCCUUGUAAAACCUAGAACAUCCUUUCCAAAGCAGCUCUGGUGCUGAGAGGAGCACUUGAAGCUAAGGCUUGCUCUGCACUGCAUUUUGCUCUCUGUAUCCUACAGAAAUAGAAGUUUGGGCUUUCUAGACUCGUGUCCUUUGUUCCUCUGUGGUUUGCUGCAUGCUUUUGAAUUUGUUACCUUGUCAUAACUGUAUUUACUGGGCGUCAUUCUGCACUGUUACAGCAU